GAGUUUGAUCGUGGCUCAGAUUGAACGCUGGCGGCAUGCCUUACACAUGCAAGUCGAACGGCAGCACGGGAGCUUGCUCCUGGUGGCGAGUGGCGAACGGGUGAGUAAUGCAUCGGAACGUAUCCUGGAGUGGGGGGAUAACGUAGCGAAAGUUACGCUAAUACCGCAUAUUCUGUGAGCAGGAAAGCGGGGGACCUUCGGGCCUCGCGCUCUUGGAGCGGCCGAUGUCGGAUUAGCUAGUUGGUGAGGUAAAGGCGUCACCAAGGCGACGAUCCGUAGCAGGUCUGAGAGGAUGAUCUGCCACACUGGAACUGAGACACGGUCCAGACUCCUACGGGAGGCAGCAGUGGGGAAUUUUGGACAAUGGGGGCAACCCUGAUCCAGCCAUGCCGCGUGAGUGAAGAAGGCCU
rnacentral:rRNA from 1 species